UACGUAGGGUGCAAGCGUUAAUCGGAAUUACUGGGCGUAAAGCGUGCGCAGGCGGUGAUGUAAGACAGAUGUGAAAUCCCCGGGCUCACCUGGGAACUGCAUUUGUGACUGCAUCGCUGGAGUACGGCAGAGGGGGAUGGAAUUCCGCGUGUAGCAGUGAAAUGCGUAGAUAUGCGGAGGAACACCGAUGGCGAAGGCAAUCCCCUGGGCCUGUACUGACGCUCAUGCACGAAAGCGUGGGGAGCAAACAGG
rnacentral:rRNA from 1 species